GACGAACGCUGGCGGCGUGCUUAACACAUGCAAGUCGAACGAUGAAGCUGGAGCUUGCUCCGGUGGAUUAGUGGCGAACGGGUGAGUAACACGUGAGAAAUCCGCCCUUGACUCUGGGAUAACUGCGGGAAACUGUAGCUAAUACCGGAUACUUUCACCGGAAGGCAUCUUCUGGUGAUGAAAGAAUUUCGGUCAGGGAUGAGCUCGCGGCCUAUCAGCUUGUUGGUGAGGUAACGGCUCACCAAGGCGACGACGGGUAACCGGCCUGAGAGGGUGACCGGUCACACUGGGACUGAGACACGGCCCAGACUCCUACGGGAGGCAGCAGUGGGGAAUAUUGCACAAUGGGCGCAAGCCUGAUGCAGCAACGCCGCGUGAGGGAUGAAGGCCUUCGGGUUGUAAACCUCUUUUAGCAGGGAAGAAGCGAAAGUGACGGUACCUGCAGAAAAAGCACCGGCUAACUACGUGCCAGCCGCCGCGGUAA
rnacentral:rRNA from 1 species